UUUAAUAGAAGCCAAAAUUUGAGGCAUUUCAUUGUUAAUGAAUUUUAUUGAUUUCUUAAUCCUAUUAAA
rnacentral:tRNA from 2 species